UUUAGCCAAACGGCCUGUUUUGUCUGAAAUAAAGGCAACCGCAGAUCAUCAGAAUAUCCUCCUUACAAUUUCUAUAUCACAAUUUGCACCUCAUGAUAUACAAGUCAGAUGGUACCAAGGCUGGAGACAAAUAUAUGAAAAGAUCAAUCCCAGGAAGUUUACGAUUGGAGAAGAUCACUUAUGUUAUUUUGUUAGUAAAAUACGCUUCGAUCCAAAAUUACUUAGCUUUGGGAAGACAAUACGAUGUGAAGUUAAACAUCUAACAUCUACUGAGGAAAAAAGCUUAACACUGAAUACAACAGAUUUUUCUGAACUUCUUGAGGAAACCCAACAUCAUCGCCCUGAGUCAUAACCAUUAUGAACUCAUUCAAAAGCGCUGUCCAGCCACCAUGGUCAGAAUAAUCCAACCUGCCCCUGGAGAAGGAAGAACCCUUACAAAACAUCUAUGAGGCCUGUUGUAAAGACUAUUCUAGCCAUCUGUUGGAUAAAACUGAACUCACUCUGAGUUAGACUUCAGCUAUGCAA